rnacentral:rRNA from 1 species
UACGAAGGGUGCAAGCGUUAAUCGGAAUUACUGGGCGUAAAGGGUGCGUAGGCGGUUGUUUAAGUCUGUCGUGAAAUCCCCGGGCUCAACCUGGGAAUGGCGAUGGAUACUGGCGAGCUAGAGUGUGGCGGAGGAUGGUGGAAUUCCCGGUGUAGCGGUGAAAUGCGUAGAGAUCGGGAGGAACAUCAGUGGCGAAGGCGGCCAUCUGGGACAACACUGACGCUGAAGCACGAAAGCGUGGGGAGCAAACAGG